UGUCCUGUCUUCAUUACUCAAAUUCGAUCAAUAUUCCAAUGCCAGAUAUUCUUUUAGCACAAAGGUUAUUGCAAGAUUUAUAAGAGCAAGGAAAGGGCUGGACUGCUUUAUACAGCAAAUCGUGCAAUUAUUAACACAAAUGAAAAAAAUGUAAGGAUGGCCAGUGCCUUUUACCAAGGCAUUCAAACAGAAGAAAGAAUGAUUUGUAUGCCAAGUUUUAUAAGAAGGUUUUUGAAACAAUAAGUCACAUAUUACUUGUGCAGCCUUGUCUGUUUUCUGCAAAGUUUAGGGCAAAUGGAUAUAUUACAUUAAUUACCAGUACAUUGGAGAGUAACUAAUUUUUUUUUUUUCAAAAUAGAUUUUAGUUGAACACUUAAUUCCUAAGAACAACUGGUAUGGUUUGCAGGCAGAUGUGUAGGAGAUGUAUAGUUUGCUAACGAGAACAAGAACCAUCUGAUUUGUACAAACCAUUCCAAGGGGCUGGGAAAAACCUCCACAGCCUCUUGUGAUAAGUAAGUUGCUAGCUGGUUGAGCAGUGCUGUGCAUAACACUAGUUUUUAUAUUGGAUAUUUCCUGGAAAUCAAAUCAUAGUAUAGAAAAGGCCAAAGCCUUGAAACACAGAUUCUACGCUAUAGUUUUAAUCACAAUGUUGUAAUAUAAGUGUUGUUUAAACCUGGAACCCUAGUUUAGGGGAGAAGAAACAGCUUGAUGAGCUUUAUGUGGAGGGGACAGGAGGACUGGCGGUGGGAAGAACAAUCCUAGGAUGGUGAACAGUUUUUAAAAGGGCUUGGAGUUAAAAGUGGGGCAUGAAAAGUAGUUAGAGCAUAGUAAUAAAUUAUAGUAAAACCAUUGAUUUGUGUUUGUAAAAAUGUUUCAGUAUUUGUUUCUCCUGCAGAGGUAGUUUUCUAUCUGUUGCUUCUUUACUGCAUUCUUUCUGAUAUGUUCAUUAACAUAUUUUUUUAAUUCUAAAGGCUCGUGAGGAAGAAAUGACUGCAAAAGUAUUGGACCUGCAGGCUCAACUUGAGGAGCUGCAGAAGAAAUACCAGCAACAGCUAGAGCAAGAAGAGAACCCUGGCAGUGACAAAGUAACCAUUAUGGAGCUGCAGGUAGGACUAGUUUUUCAUUGAAUUUGAGUCAAGGUAGUCCAUUUUUAGGAACAUUUUGUGUUUUAAGUUAAAACUUAGGAAAUUUGUUUUAACAAGGGAAAAUUUACCAAGCAGUAUAGAAGUGUGUCCAGGCAAUGAUGAAACCCAUAUGUGUCUCAGAUCUGGUGUUUUUGUUCUUUCAGACGCAACUAGCACAGAAGACUACUCUAAUCAGUGAUUCAAAGUUGAAAGAGCAAGAGUUCAGAGAACAGGUACAAGUUUAAUUGGUGCCUUUUGUUUUGAAAUGACUAGUUUAUGUAUGUUCUUAGAACUCAUUUAGCUAAUUUUAAAAAAAAGAGCUGAUCUAAUACUCAUUUAAUAGUUGCUUUGCAAUUUGUCUCACACAGGAAAUUUUAUUUCCAAAUUCAGAAGUGCUAGAGGUUAUCUUUAUGAAUUUGUGAUCACAUGUAUUUAAAUAAGAAUAUUUGCAUCCGGUUAUUCUAGCACUUAUGUUGGUUAACAGUUUUGUGUUGGUUCAGUUUGUAGUAACUUAAGUUCUACAAAAGAAGUAAUUUUUGCUUUUAUCAGAGGGAAAAACACAUUAACAUCAGUCUUCACUGCUUUUUCCUUGUGGUUAAAUUAUCUUGAUUUAAUGUUAUUUGUGCAUAUAUUAUCCAGUAAUUUGAUUUUAAAUAGGAUCAUGUGUGUGUACCUAGAAGGAUGCACAAGCAUGUAAACACCAGUAUAUGUGUAUAUGUGGUGCAUGAUAUUGAGUUAAGUCAUUUUCCAAACUCUGAAGGAAUAGUAUUUAAAGUCAGCAGGCUAAGUUUGAAGGUCACAUCUCUAAGAGUUUUCUAAUUUUAAAAAAAAUUUGCAUAUACAGAAAUGUUCACAUUUGUUGAAACUAGGUGAUGGAUGGGUAUAUGGGCAUUAAUUGUACUAUACUUUCUAUAUUUGAGUAUAUUUGAAAUCUUUCAUAAUAUUUUAAAAAAUUCGGAGUUCCCGUCAUGGUGUGUUGAAAAUGAAUCCAACUAGGAACCAU
ensembl:lncRNA